CAGUAAGUUGUCUUACAAAACCUCUCCACUUCACUCUGCUGUAGGGUGGGAGAUGCAACAACCGCCUUGAGAACAGCACGAAGUGUGUUGGUGGUCUUUCUCUGGUCUGUGUCGUGGCAAGAAAGGAGAUACAUGGACAGCAUAUCUAAACCUGAGUCGAGUAAAGAUUGACCCCCUGAUCUAUGAUUCGUAGAUGUGGGAGAGGUGAGCACCUAUCAGUUCCUGCUGCUGUCCUUCACCCCUCAGUGCAGACUUCUGACCAUCGCUUAGGCCAGGAAGAAGUCAGCCAAGUUCAUCGCCAUGCAACGCACUACUGAUUGAGGAGACCAUGAGAAGGGAGUAGGCCACCUGACCAACACCAUUGCUGUGUGUGGUUAAAACCUCUCUAGGCUAGGCGUGCCGCUAGCGACCCACCUCGACAACAUCCGGUGAAAUUGCAGAGCGCCAAAUUCAAAUGACAGAAAUAGUCAUAACAAACAUUCAUAAAAAUACAAGUGUUAUAUAUCGACAUAAAGAUUAACUUCUUCUUAAUCCAGCCGCUUUGUCAGAUUUCAAAAAGGCUUUACGGCGAAAGCAUACCAUGCGAUUAUCUGAAGAC